rnacentral:rRNA from 1 species
AAACGAUUGAAGCCAGUCGUACUGACGGGUAAUCAACCUUUCGGGUGCGAUUCUGUGGGUUUUGAGGAGCUUCACGGCCCUCAUGGUCUGCAUAUUUGUGCCAUUUGGGUGUACUUACCUGGCAGUAGGUUAACAUCAAUUUUGAUCGUCAUAAAAUGAUGGGAGGAAUGUAGCUUCGACCUCGGUUGAAGUGUUAUAGCCUCUGGUAGAUGUGAUGAUCGGGAU